GGUUAAGCGACUAAGCGUACACGGUGGAUGCCCUGGCAGUCAGAGGCGAUGAAGGGCGUGCUAAUCUGCGAUAAGCGCCGGUAAGGUGAUAUGAACCGUUAUAACCGGCGAUACCCGAAUGGGGAAACCCAGUGUGACUCGUCACACUAUCAUUAACUGAAUCCAUAGGUUAAUGAGGCGAACCGGGGGAACUGAAACAUCUAAGUACCCCGAGGAAAAGAAAUCAACCGAGAUUCCCCCAGUAGCGGCGAGCGAACGGGGAGGAGCCCAGAGCCUGAAUCAGCAUGUGUGUUAGUGGAAGCGUCUGGAAAGGCGCGCGAUACAGGGUGACAGCCCCGUACACAAAAGCGCAUGUGCUGUGAGCUCGAUGAGUAGGGCGGGACACGUGGUAUCCUGUCUGAAUAUGGGGGGACCAUCCUCCAAGGCUAAAUACUCCUGACUGACCGAUAGUGAACCAGUACCGUGAGGGAAAGGCGAAAAGAACCCCGGCGAGGGGAGUGAAAAAGAACCUGAAACCGUGUACGUACAAGCAGUGGGAGCCCCACCACUAAGCCAGUGGUGAACUCCACAUACGCAUCCUUUGCUGAGGAUACGGUUAACGGAGCGAAAGCGACGUUCAACCGCAAAAGAAGCAGAGGGGGCUUAGUGGUGGGGUGACUGCGUACCUUUUGUAUAAUGGGUCAGCGACUUAUAUUCUGUAGCAAGGUUAACCGUAUAGGGGAGCCGGAGGGAAACCGAGUCUUAAUUGGGCGUUAAGUUGCAGGGUAUAGACCCGAAACCCGGUGAUCUAGCCAUGGGCAGGUUGAAGGUUGGGUAACACUAACUGGAGGACCGAACCGACUAAUGUUGAAAAAUUAGCGGAUGACCUGUGGCUGGGGGUGAAAGGCCAAUCAAACCGGGAGAUAGCUGGUUCUCCCCGAAAGCUAUUUAGGUAGCGCCUCGUGAAUUCAUCUCCGGGGGUAGAGCACUGUUUCGGCUAGGGGGCCAUCCCGGCUUACCAACCCGAUGCAAACUGCGAAUACCGGAGAAUGUUAUCACGGGAGACACACGGCGGGUGCUAACGUCCGUCGUGAAGAGGGAAACAACCCAGACCGCCAGCUAAGGUCCCAAAGUCAUGGUUAAGUGGGAAACGAUGUGGGAAGGCCCAGACAGCCAGGAUGUUGGCUUAGAAGCAGCCAUCAUUUAAAGAAAGCGUAAUAGCUCACUGGUCGAGUCGGCCUGCGCGGAAGAUGUAACGGGGCUAAACCAUGCACCGAAGCUGCGGCAGCGACACUCAGGUGUUGUUGGGUAGGGGAGCGUUCUGUAAGCCUGUGAAGGUGGCCUGUGAGGGUUGCUGGAGGUAUCAGAAGUGCGAAUGCUGACAUAAGUAACGAUAAAGCGGGUGAAAAGCCCGCUCGCCGGAAGACCAAGGGUUCCUGUCCAACGUUAAUCGGGGCAGGGUGAGUCGACCCCUAAGGCGAGGCCGAAAGGCGUAGUCGAUGGGAAACGGGUUAAUAUUCCCGUACUUGGUGUUACUGCGAAGGGGGGACGGAGAAGGCUAUGUUGGCCGGGCGACGGUUGUCCCGGUUUAAGCGUGUAGGUGUGUGUUCCAGGUAAAUCCGGUUCACUUUAACACUGAGGCGUGACGACGAGGCACUACGGUGCUGAAGCAACAAAUGCCCUGCUUCCAGGAAAAGCCUCUAAGCAUCAGGUAACAUCAAAUCGUACCCCAAACCGACACAGGUGGUCAGGUAGAGAAUACCAAGGCGCUUGAGAGAACUCGGGUGAAGGAACUAGGCAAAAUGGUGCCGUAACUUCGGGAGAAGGCACGCUGACACGUAGGUGAAGUGAUUUACUCACGGAGCUGAAGUCAGUCGAAGAUACCAGCUGGCUGCAACUGUUUAUUAAAAACACAGCACUGUGCAAACACGAAAGUGGACGUAUACGGUGUGACGCCUGCCCGGUGCCGGAAGGUUAAUUGAUGGGGUCAGCGCAAGCGAAGCUCCUGAUCGAAGCCCCGGUAAACGGCGGCCGUAACUAUAACGGUCCUAAGGUAGCGAAAUUCCUUGUCGGGUAAGUUCCGACCUGCACGAAUGGCGUAAUGAUGGCCAGGCUGUCUCCACCCGAGACUCAGUGAAAUUGAACUCGCUGUGAAGAUGCAGUGUACCCGCGGCAAGACGGAAAGACCCCGUGAACCUUUACUAUAGCUUGACACUGAACAUUGAGCCUUGAUGUGUAGGAUAGGUGGGAGGCUUUGAAGUGUGGACGCCAGUCUGCAUGGAGCCGACCUUGAAAUACCACCCUUUAAUGUUUGAUGUUCUAACGUGGACCCGUAAUCCGGGUUGCGGACAGUGUCUGGUGGGUAGUUUGACUGGGGCGGUCUCCUCCUAAAGAGUAACGGAGGAGCACGAAGGUUGGCUAAUCCUGGUCGGACAUCAGGAGGUUAGUGCAAUGGCAUAAGCCAGCUUGACUGCGAGCGUGACGGCGCGAGCAGGUGCGAAAGCAGGUCAUAGUGAUCCGGUGGUUCUGAAUGGAAGGGCCAUCGCUCAACGGAUAAAAGGUACUCCGGGGAUAACAGGCUGAUACCGCCCAAGAGUUCAUAUCGACGGCGGUGUUUGGCACCUCGAUGUCGGCUCAUCACAUCCUGGGGCUGAAGUAGGUCCCAAGGGUAUGGCUGUUCGCCAUUUAAAGUGGUACGCGAGCUGGGUUUAGAACGUCGUGAGACAGUUCGGUCCCUAUCUGCCGUGGGCGCUGGAGAACUGAGGGGGGCUGCUCCUAGUACGAGAGGACCGGAGUGGACGCAUCACUGGUGUUCGGGUUGUCAUGCCAAUGGCACUGCCCGGUAGCUAAAUGCGGAAGAGAUAAGUGCUGAAAGCAUCUAAGCACGAAACUUGCCCCGAGAUGAGUUCUCCCUGAGACUUAGAGUCUCCUGAAGGAACGUUGAAGACGACGACGUUGAUAGGCCGGGUGUGUAAGCGCAGCGAUGCGUUGAGCUAACCGGUACUAAUGAACCGUGAGGCUUAACCUU
rnacentral:rRNA from 1 species